UACGGAGGGUGCAAGCGUUAUCCGGAAUCAUUGGGUUUAAAGGGUCCGCAGGCGGACUUAUAAGUCAGUGGUGAAAGCCUACAGCUUAACUGUAGAACUGCCAUUGAUACUGUAAGUCUUGAAUUCGGUCGAAGUGGGCGGAAUAUGACAUGUAGCGGUGAAAUGCUUAGAUAUGUCAUAGAACACCGAUAGCGAAGGCAGCUCACUAGGCCUGGAUUGACGCUCAUGGACGAAAGCGUGGGGAGCAAACAGG
rnacentral:rRNA from 1 species